UUUGGGGUUGGUCGCGUUGCGCCUCGUCAGGCUUAUGACCUGAAGGUCAUAGGUUCAAAUCCUAUCCCCGCAA
rnacentral:tRNA from 1 species